rnacentral:snRNA from 1 species
GUGCUCGCUUCGGCAGCACAUAUAUUAAAAUUGGAACAAUCCAGAGGUUAGCAUGGCCCCUGUGCAAGGAUGACACGCAAAUUCAUGGAGCACCCCAUAUUUUU